UAAAUCCUUUUCAAGUUCAUAGGAAAAUUAUUAUUCCAAAUAAUUUUCUUGUUAUACUUUUUUUUCAUUCUUAUUAGUAGUUUGCACUAGAUUUGUUCCUACACAACAAAUUCUAGUACAGAGUAAAAUUUAGACUUGUCUUAUUUUGGGAGACUAAUUCGCAGUAAUCAUGUGUAGUAAAAAUAAGGGACGAAUAUAGUCUUAAAGAAAGAGUGGUCAACCAUUCGAUUUAGACAGUAAUAUUAUUGUUUUAUAUCAUAUUAUAAAGCGUGUUACAACAACGUUUGGCUAUUCAAAUAUGCGUCAGUUGACUAUUCAAAUUUGGGGCCGCAGCGCAAAACUUCAAAAAAUUGAAGACCCUUCUCUGAACUUGGGGGCAGCAGCACCAUUGGGAGUUCAAAACCUGGCGCGGAAGCGCCAGUUCGACUGAGUAGUUUUUGGACAUUUGUAGUUUUCUACUUAAUUCGAAUGGAACUUGGACCGUAACUUCUUAAUGGUUUAAGACUUUAAUUAGAGACUAUAAAUAGAUUAUAUCAGACCAUUAGAUGGCUUUCUUGUAACCUUUUGGCUAACUCUAAAUUGAAGAAGGAUCGUGAAGGCUUGAAGCAAGGAGGUGAUCAUGAAAAAAGAGUAAAUUUGAAGGCUGCAGAGAAGAUUAAAGGAUUGCAUUAAAACAAUUUUAUUUCUUUUCUCUUAAUUUUUUAUCUUUGUAAUUUCGGG
rnacentral:lncRNA from 1 species